rnacentral:lncRNA from 10 species
CUUCCACUCUCUGGCAGCUUUGUUCUUUGGCUCUUCACAAUAAAUCUUGCUGCUGCUCACUCUGGGUCUGCAAUGCCUUUAUGAGCUGUAACACUCACUUCCAGGUUCUGAGGCUUCAUUCCUGAAGCCGGCAAGAUCACAAACCCACGGGGAGGAACAAACAACUCUGGACUUGCCACCUUUAAGAGCUGUAACACUCACUGCAAAGGUCUGCGGCUUCACUCCUGAAGUCAGCGAGACCACGAACCCACCAGAAGGAAGAAAUUCCGGACACAUCUGAACAUCUGAAGGAACAAACUCCAGCCACACCAUUUUUAAGAACUGUAACGCUCACCGUGAGGGUCCAUGGCUUCAUUCCUGAAGUCCGCGAGACCAAGAACCCACUGGAAGGAAUAAAUUCCAGACACAGUGGCAGCUGGCACUGUGCUGCUUACAGAUCAAAGACCUACAGGAUUACAAGACACGUGGCUGAGAAAGAGAAGGGAAGGUGGAGCCGCCAUGUUGAACAUGUCUAGUCCCUAGUUCCUGCUGGUAUUCACCAGUGCAAGCUCCCAGCUUGCUUGCCUAUGUCUGCAGCUUGACUUUACAGGCUGCUCUUCGGUAGAAAAUGAUUUGGGGCUGCUUUUCCUUAAAAAGAAAAGCCUUACGAGGACUCCCAUACCCUUACUAUCUGCCUAAGUGAUUUCUUCUUAACUCCUGUAUCGUUUUGCACUGACCGUACCAUCUCAAGGGACUCAGUAAAUGAAAAAAAGAUAGUGACAUUGCCAGAAUGUGGGUAAUGAACAUUGGAGCAGAAGGGGCACUGAGUGGCAUCAGCAAUGGCAAAUUACUAUAAACCAAUCAGAGAAUGAAAUGACUUAAAGCUGGGCUUCAGUAUCAUCAAAGGUCAAAUUUCAAUUACUUUUGGGUUUUUCUAGCCCCAAAUCUGGAGAGAGGCUUUACCAGACACUGCCUUCUUUAUGAGGCUUUUUACUUUGUAUUGUACCAUUUGCCUGUCAGCCUGUGGAAAUCACUGCUCAGCCUCUCCGCAUCUCAGCCACCUCUUUCAGAAUUGUCAAAUGCUUACAGGGGAGCAUCAAGGUCAUCUUUCUAGAGCUCCUUCUCCUAGAUCUUGGCCCCAUUUAUCUCCACUUCCUUACUAGUUCUGCAGUGCCUUUAUGUGCAGGUUUUUCUUUUCUCUGCUUUUUUAAAAAAUUGUAACUUGCGUGAAGAUUUAUCCAAAUUUCUUAGUUCAUUAUUAGUGAAGGCUAAAACUCUAGCUGACAAUUUCAUAUCCAAUUGAAUUAUCAUUUAAUAUUGAGGGUGAAAGAAAGACAUUUUCAGAUAAAAUACUAACAGGGUUUACCAACAGUAGAUCCUGUUAUAGUUGAAUUGUGUUUCUCCCAAAUUCAUGUUAAAGCCCUAAUCCUCAGUACCUUUGAAUGUGACUGUAUUUGGAGAGAGGGCUUUUAAAGAGGUGAUUACAUUAAACUGAGGCCAUUUGGAUGGGCCCUAAUACAGUUUGACUGGAGUCCUUAUAAAAAAUGGAAUUCUGCCCAGUACUUUGGGAGGGCAAGGCAGGCGGAUCACCUGAGUUCGGGAGUUCUAGACCAGCCUGGCACACAUAGUGAAACCCCGUUUCUACUGAAAAUACAAAAAUUAGCGGGGCGUGGUGGCACACGUCUUUAAUCCCAGCUACUCAGGAGGCUGAGGCAGGAAAAUCGCUUGAACCCAGUAGGCAGAGGUUGCAGUGAGCUGAGAUCGUGCCACUGUUCUCCAGUCUGGGUGACAGGGCGAGACUCUGUCUUAAAAAAAAAAAAAAAAAAAAAGAAAACUGGAAAUAUGGACACAAAAUGGACAUCAGAAAUAGACAUUCACAGAGAAGAUCAUGUGAAGACACAGCAAAAAAGAUGGCCAUCUGCACACCAGGGGAGAGAUUUCAGAAGAAACCAAACCUACCAACA